AAAGGUAUCCACAAGCCACAAGGUUGCUAAUAUUAAUUAAAAUCAAACUCAGUUUUAAUAAAUAGAACAUACCCCUUUAUGUAGAAUCCUAGAAGGGGCUGGUCAAAGACUAGAUUGAUUAAAAAUUUGAUGUUUUAGAGACAUGUAAGGUUGCCCACACUUAAACCAAUGUAGUUAACAUUGAUUAAGACAAAACUUUAAAAAGGGUUUCUAGAAACAACUCUUAAAAUUUGGGUCGCUGUAUUUCUUUAUUUUGGGAUAGAUUUGGGUCUCAUUCCACUCUAGCUUAGACUUGAAUUUGAUGCUCAAAUUAAAUCCAAGACUUGGGAAAAAUAUCUCCAUGGGACCCAACUCUUUUUCCAUCACAAGACACUUUUUUUUAUUUCUAAUUGCCGCUCAUUUGAGUUUGUCUUGAACUUCCUUAUUU
rnacentral:lncRNA from 1 species